rnacentral:tRNA from 1 species
GGGCCUAUAGUUCAGUGGUAGAAUUUCUCUCUCCAAAAGAGAAGACCAAGGUUCGAAUCCUUGUGGGCCCGCCG